UACGGAGGGAGCUAGCGUUGUUCGGAAUUACUGGGCGUAAAGCGCACGUAGGCGGCUUUGUAAGUUAGAGGUGAAAGCCCGGAGCUCAACUCCGGAACUGCCUUUAAGACUGCAUCGCUUGAAUCCAGGAGAGGUGAGUGGAAUUCCGAGUGUAGAGGUGAAAUUCGUAGAUAUUCGGAGGAACACCAGUGGCGAAGGCGGCUCACUGGUCCGGUACUGACGCUGAGGUGCGAAAGCGGUGGGGAG
rnacentral:rRNA from 1 species